rnacentral:rRNA from 1 species
GACGAACGCUGGCGGCGUGCUUAACACAUGCAAGUCGAACGGAAAGGCCCUGCUUUUGUGGGGUGCUCGAGUGGCGAACGGGUGAGUAACACGUGAGUAACCUGCCCUUGACUUUGGGAUAAAUUCAGGAAAAUGGGGCUAAUACCGGAUAGGAGCUCCUGCUGCAUGGUGGGGGUUGGAAAGUUUCGGCGGUUGGGGAUGGACUCGCGGCUUAUCAGCUUGUUGGUGGGGUAGUGGCUUACCAAGGCUUUGACGGGUAGCCGGCCUGAGAGGGUGACCGGGCACAUUGGGACUGAGAGACGGCGCAGACGCCUACGGGAGGCAGCAGUGGGGAGUAUUGCACAAUGGGCGGAAGCCUGAGGCAGCAACGCCGCGUGCGUGAUGACGGCCUUCGGGGUGUAAACCGCUUUCGCCUGUGACGAAGCGUGAGUGACGGUAAUGGGUAAAGAAGCACCGGCUAACUACGUG